rnacentral:rRNA from 1 species
AUACGGAGGGUGCAAGCGUUAUCCGGAUUCAUUGGGUUUUAAGGGUACGUAGGCGGAUAGAUAAGUUAGUGGUGAAAUCCCGAAGCUCAACUUCGGAACUGCCAUUAAAACUGUCUAUCUUGAAUUUGGUUGAAGUGGGCGGAAUAUGACAUGUAGCGGUGAAAUGCAUAGAUAUGUCAUGGAACACCGAUAGUGAAGACAGCUCACUAAGCCAAUAUUGACGCUGAGGUACGAAAGCAUGGGUAGCGAACAGGAUUAGAAACCCCAGUAGUCC